AACCUUACCGGGUGGAUCACUCGGCUCGUAAC
rnacentral:rRNA from 1 species